GGAGCUGGGGACCGAACCCAUGGCCUUGCGCUUCCUAGGUAAGCGUUCUACCACUGAGCUAAAUCCCCAGUCCCUCCUGUAGUCUCUUAUGGACCAGAUCUCUAUAGAGCAAUCAUCAAAGUCGGACACUGGCUGAUAGAACAAUAUUUGAACUGCCUUUUUAGUUUUUCUUCUAUAAGUUUGAAUUCUGUUUUAAUCUUCUGUCUUUCUUAAGAACUGAUUGGUUUACUGUAAAAAAAAAUUGUUGUCUUUUUCAACAAUAUCAUGUUUAAAAAUCUCUUGUUGGAUCCGGCUGAUUAAGAUGGUCAGUGAGCCAGGAGGAUCUAACAGCUAACAUGGGAGGUUCAAAAGGAAAGGGUAGGGGUCUAGCCUUUCGGUGCUAACUAUUCGUUUAGCAGUUUGUGUAUUUUCUCCCAUUUACAUCUCAGAUGAACAUUGUGUGAUAUCUUUAUUCUAUACAUUAUACAAGCCAACUGAUGCUCUAGCUAGUUAACAAGAAAGCUAGCGCAAGUUUGAAAAUGACUCCUAUUUUUCCUGUUUUAAAAAAAUUGAAUUUAAAAUAUAAUUUUCUAAAUGCUGAAUCCCAGAACAAGUUACACACAUCAUUAGAGGUAUUCACACAGCCAUGAAUAAGGAAACUUUGACAUUUUAGUAUUUGGAAACUUAUGUGGUGAUUCCUGCUGCUUUUAGGACAUGUCUUAUAGGGAAAGACUGUGGGUCCUGAAGUAGGAAGGAUUAUCCAUGAUUACAUUUAGAAAAUAGGUCAUCUCCUUGAUGUAUCAUCUGGGCCGAGAAGUAUGCUGUGGUUGUCAAUACAGCUGUCUAGCCAUUUAUCUUUGACAGGGAAAGAAAUGCCAUAGCCAUGAAUUCAUGAGCAGAUGUCUGGUAGGCUUUCUGUCAUAUCAUGUGACAGCUGACCAAAGGCUUAAGUGUGUGUGCAUGAGUAUAUGUGUGCAAGAUUUUAUGUGUGUUGGGUGGCCAGGAGUCAUAGGCAUUGUGAGAAUUAUCCACUAGUAAGCAGGAAAAGAAAAGAGAGGUAGAGAGAAAAUAAUUUAGGGAGUUAAUUACAAAUCUGACCCAACAGUACUGGUGUGUUCCUGAGCAAAGAUAACCUUGCCAGUCCCACCUCGGUUCUCCGUGCCUGCAGCUAACUUUUUGUGCUAAGGGUGUAGGAGAAAAUGCCAGUAAUUCUAGGGGAAACUUAUGCUAUCAGAAACUCUGGUAGGCUUCUAACAACAACAGACCAGAACUGAUAUUCCCCCUCUGGAGGCCUUUCUGGGUGUUCAUUUGAGAUUGUUUCUGUAAGCAAGUGAUUCAGAACACAGGAGGAAGCAAAGGAGAUCAAAAGUCUGCUUUUAGGGGAUAAGGGGUCAACUAGAGAACAUGAAACAAACCGAAGCAUUAUGGGGAGAGCUCAAGAGGGAUCAAGAAUGGCCUGAGAGAUUCAGAAGAACCCAAGUGCAAGUGGCAGCCCUUUACUAUUUGUGGUGCAGAAAAGGAUGGUCCCUCUGUGGCAGGAGUUUUGAAAUUCACCGAGAGUUGGUAAAUUCUUUCAGAUGGUGAUUAAUGCAAACAGUAGAAUCUAUCCCACGUGCCUGCCCAUGUGACCUCUGAUCUUGCUUCUCAGCUCUGCUGGACCAGUCUAGAGAAAGCUUUCCUUCUUUUUUCAAAGUGUUUAUGUGUCUGUGUGUCUGAAUGCACAUCUCUGCACUGCAGUUCCCCAGUGCUUACGGAGGUCAGAAAAGGUGUCUGUCACCCUGGAACUGGCGCUAUAGGCAGUUACUAGCCAGCGUAGGUGCUGAGAAUAGAACCCAGGCCAUCUUUCUUGCUGAGCACCUCUCCAGCCCUUCUCACUUCUCUCCUCUUCACCUCUUUCCUUUGUUUGGGCAUACAGUUUUGUCUACAAAUAUUUUCAUAGAAGGCCUCA